AUCUUCCUUGUCGUGGGGAGCAGAAUAUCCAAUGAACGUCUAGUGAGGGUAUUUUUGCUGACACCAUUACAAAUAUAUUCCCCGUUCGACGUGUUCUGCACGCUGUGUAGUAGCGUUCGUUCGGAAUUUUUGGAAAU